CCUCUUCGAUCUGCUGCGGGCAGAUAAAGUGAAUAUGGCUAUCCAUGCCGCCGGCGGUGACGAUCUUGCCCUCACCCGCGAUCGCCUCCGUGCCCGGCCCCACGAUGAUGUUGACGCCCGGCUGCAUAUCCGGAUUGCCGGCUUUGCCGAUCGCAACGAUUCGGCCAUCCUUAAGGCCGAUAUCAGCCUUGACGAUCCCCCAGGUAUCGACGAUCAGCGCGUUGGUAAUGACGGUAUCGACGGCGCCGUUCGCGCGCGUCACCUGGCUCUGCCCCAUGCCGUCGCGAAUG
rnacentral:sRNA from 1 species